AACGAACGCUGGCGGCAGGCCUAACACAUGCAAGUCGAGCGAGGACUUCGGUCCUAGCGGCGGACGGGUGAGUAACGCGUGGGAACGUGCCCUUUGCUUCGGAAUAGCCCUGGGAAACUGGGAGUAAUACCGGAUGAGCCCUUUGGGGGAAAGAUUUAUCGGCGAAGGAUCGGCCCGCGUUGGAUUAGGUAGUUGGUGGGGUAAUGGCCUACCAAGCCGACGAUCCAUAGCUGGUUUGAGAGGAUGAUCAGCCACACUGGGACUGAGACACGGCCCAGACUCCUACGGGAGGCAGCAGUGGGGAAUCUUAGACAAUGGGGGAAACCCUGAUCUAGCCAUGCCGCGUGAGCGAUGAAGGCCUUAGGGUUGUAAAGCUCUUUCAGCUGGGAAGAUAAUGGCGGUACCAGCAGAAGAAGCCCCGGCUAACUCCGUG
rnacentral:rRNA from 1 species